UUGGUGUCGCUACCCUCCUCGUCCUCCUCGGGCUUGGCAUGGGCGGGGUUCGCGGGGUGCGAGGGCGACACAGAGGUGGAUUGGAACCGCGAAGGCCAUCGUCACGCAGGCCUCGUCGACGUCCUCGUCGUCGGGCUUAGCACGAGUGGGAAGCGGGGGGCGGCGAAGGUGGAUCGGAGCCGCGGAGGGUCGGGGACUGCGGGGGAGGUUAGCACGAGUGGGAUGCGGGGGGCAGCGAAGGCGGAUCGGAGCCGCGGAGGGUCGGGGACUGCGGGGGAGGUUAGGGAUUGGGUACAGCCGUGA
rnacentral:misc_RNA from 1 species